GAGGGCUCGGCCGCCAUUUUGUGUGUGUGGGGGCUCGCGCCAGGCCUCGCUGCCGCCGCCGCGAGGCUGCAGCGUUUUCAGGGAGCCGGACUGCUGCUGCAGCGCUUCCUGCCUGAAGAGCGGCUGGAAGCGGAGUCGGGUAUCGCAGUCCCCCGCUGGGGACGGGGUGCUUCGGCAGGCGCUGGAAGUCUGCGCUGCUGCUAAGUGUGAGUGCGGGAGGUGGGGUCGGACCCUGCAGGGAGACAAACCGCUCCGGAACACCUGCGGUGGGGAUUAGGAGCAAUUAGUGUGCGUUAAGACUCCUUCAUUAGGCAGAAUGUGGCAUAAAGUUGGUAGAAUCAAAGCAGGGUCGGGGAGCUGAUGGGUAUGGAGGGAGCGGUGGUGCUCUGAGCGGGGGGAGAGGCUGCUGUGUCUGUAAGUGCCAUUGUUGAAGUGUUUGCAGGUAACUCUGAACAAAGGGCUGUUCGUAUGAAUUCAAUGUAACCAGUUUGGGGUCAGUGGGUGCAGGACGGCCUCGGUGAGCACUGGACUGGUCACGGACAUCCCUUAGUAACACCCGGGCUGCUACAUUUCUCUGACAAUUUCCUUGUGUGGGUUUCUCCCC
rnacentral:lncRNA from 1 species